rnacentral:lncRNA from 1 species
UUUUCUUCGUCUGACUCUCUUGAUCUCAGUCUCUCCCUCUUCUGAUGAGUAUACCUUAGAUGCAGUCCCAACAGUCGUCCUUCUUCUUCUCACAACAUUUCUUUAUCAAAAAAUGGGCAUUCUUGAAUCUCCUGUGUCUGGUUCUCUUGACCUCCGUGGCUCCCUCUCCUGAUGAAUAUGCAUUGGAUGCAGCCCCAACAGGUAAUGCCCUUCUCAUCUUCUCAGUGCUUCUUUAGCAACAAAAUGGGUAGUCUCAUUUUCUGUUUCAGGAAUGAAAUGAAACCCGAUAUUCUGAAAAAAAAAAACUUUUUUGCUAUGGGAUAUCUCUGAUUAUCGCCCUUAUAAUCGAUUUAUCUUGGUUUAUGGUUUGACAUUUCUUAAUCACUAUUCUUGAGUCUCUUUUUAUAUUCAGAAUAUUCAAUCCCAUUGUAAUACUUGACUUAAAGGCCACAAUCUCCCCCUCCGUAUUGCAAACAACUAAACCCAAAGCAGAUUUGGAGGUUCUCUUAUCAAAAGCCGCAUCAAAAUAAACUAUCACCCUCGUGCUUCUUUCCAUCUGCUUAUGACCUCUGUCAAUGUUGGUAAAAAGUCUUUUUUCCUCUACUCCAUUUAACUCUGCUGUAGAACUGAUGACUUGUUUAGAAAUAUCCCUACCUGUUGUAAUCUUCUCUUAUAGAUGAAUCUAUUUCUAUGGUUCCAGAUUAACCAUAGCCCACCGCAAAAAAGGCGACACUGGUCUCUGUUUCCCUGCCUAAAAACCCAAAUAAGCCACUCCCAUAAGCUUUGAAUGUUAUUAUUGUAUACCCAUGCAAAAUCUAAAUUUGAGCAUACUUCUGUUGUUGUAG